GAGGGUAUAGCUAGUGGUAGAGUGCAUGCCUAGCAUGCACGAGGUCCUAGGUUCAAUCCCCAGUACCUCCA
rfam:Camelus ferus unplaced genomic scaffold scaffold812, whole genome shotgun sequence.